UGGCAUAAGAUGGGCAUGCGUCUGAUUAGCUAGUUGGUGAGGUAACAGCUCACCAAGGCGACGAUCAGUAGGGGUUCUGAGAGGAUUAUCCCCCACACUGGUACUGAGACACGGACCAGACUCCUACGGGAGGCAGCAGUGAGGAAUAUUGGUCAAUGGGCGCGAGCCUGAACCAGCCAUCCCGCGUGCAGGAUGACGGCCCUAUGGGUUGUAAACUGCUUUUCUACGCCAAGAACGGCCCCGACGUGUCGGGGAUUGACGGUAGCGUAGGAAUAAGCAUCGGCUAACUCCGUGCCAGCAGCCGCGGUAAUACGGAGGAUGCAAGCGUUAUCCGGAUUCAUUGGGUUUAAAGGGUGCGCAGGCGGGAAAGUAAGUCAGUGGUGAAAAACUGCCGCUCAACGGUAGUCGUGCCAUUGAUACUGCUUUUCUUGAGUUUGGAUGAGGUAGGCGGAAUGUGCAGUGUAGCGGUGAAAUGCAUAGAUAUUGCACAGAACACCAAUUGCGAAGGCAGCUUACUAAUCCACGACUGACGCUGAGGCACGAAAGCGUGGGGAGCGAACAGGAUUAGAUACCCUGGUAGUCCACGCCGUAAACGAUGUUCACUCGCUGUUUGCGAUACACAGUAAGCGGCUUAGCGAAAGCAUUAAGUGAACCACCUGGGGAGUACGAUCGCAAGGUUGAAACUCAAAGGAAUUGACGGGGGCCCGCACAAGCGGAGGAACAUGUGGUUUAAUUCGAUGAUACGCGAGGAACCUUACCAAGGCUUAAAUG
rnacentral:rRNA from 1 species